UACAGAGGUCUCAAGCGUUGUUCGGAUUCAUUGGGCGUAAAGGGUGCGUAGGCGGCGCGGUAAGUCGGGUGUGAAAGUCUCGGAGCUUAACUCCGAAACUGCAUUCGAUACUGCCGUGCUUGAGGACUGGAGAGGAGACUGGAAUUUACGGUGUAGCGGUGAAAUGCGUAGAUAUCGUAAGGAAGACCAGUGGCGAAGGCGGGGUCUCUGGACAGUUCCUGACGCUGAGGCACGAAGGCCAGGGGAGCAAACGGG
rnacentral:rRNA from 1 species